rnacentral:tRNA from 1 species
CCUCUCGUGGUGUAGGGGUAACGCGCCCUGUCUAUUGAUCACGGAGUCGUGAGUUCAAAUCUCACCGAGAGGG